AUUGAACGCUGGCGGCAGGCCUAACACAUGCAAGUCGAACGAGUGGCGGACGUGUGAGUAAUGUCUGUGACACUGCCCGAUGGAGGGGGAUAACUACUGGAAACGGUAGCUACUACCUCAUACCAUCGGAUGUGCCCAGAUGGGAUUAGCUAGUAGGUGGGGUAACGGCUCACCUAGGCGACGAUCCCUAGCUGGUCUGAGAGGAUGACCAGCCACACUGGAACGGAGACACGGUCCAGACUCCUACGGGAGGCAGCAGUGGGGAAUAUUGCACAAUGGGCGCAAGCCUGAUGCAGCCAUGCCGCGUGUAUGAAGAAGGCCUUCGGGUUGUAAAGUACUUUCAGCGAGGAGGCGUUACUCGCAGAAGAAGCACCGGCUAACUCCGUGCCAGCCGCCGCGGUAAUUC
rnacentral:rRNA from 1 species